AGACACUGAUGUCUAUGUCGAUGCUCCAUCAUAGACCCUGUGCUUCGACUUCUUUCUGGGUGUCACAUGACAGGCAAGAAGGGUGCUUCCGCAGACCCAACUUGUGGGUUGCCUCGCCUUCCGCUUGGAAAGAGAAAAUUAAGAAGCCGCACCCCUCGCCUCCACCCCUACCCCCAGGCACACACACUCGGAAAUGCACAUGCUGAAUACACCGUCCCCACCCUGCCCGCCCCCGUGCCCAACCCUCCCGCUGCCCGCACCGCGCACAUUGAGGAAGAUUUAAUGUGUUUGGAAAUCUCUCGUUCACGUCGUCAUCUCUUUAAAGAAAAAUGAGGACAGGUGGAUUUAGGAAGCGCUUCCCUCCGCUCCAAAUAGAUACUUAAAUAUGAGUGAUCGCUCGGAAAACUGGCACAUGAGUGAAAACCUUUUACUGCCGUUGCAGUCUUUUGGCCCCAGAGCCGCCGAGCCGUUUGAAUGGUCACGUGACACACGCCCUUGGUGGGUGGCGAGGAGGGAAAGAGACUCUUAGCACUUCUUCCCCUGCCAGUCCCGCCACUGACAAGCCAAAUUGAUCUGUUAAGAGACUAAAUGAAUGUUCUCUAAAUAUACGUACACACACGGCUGUCUGGGAGCAUAUUCCUGUGCGAAGUGAUGGCCUGAAGGGUGAAGGAGAGAGUGGUAAAGACGCCCGGCUUCAAGGUGGGCUUGAAGGGUUGGGGGGUAGGGCAGAGGCGGAAUUGUGUGCGGACCAGAGCUUCAGUUUUGCGCCGUGUGUCCUUUCGGGAUUCAAGGUGUUGAUCAGUAUAAUGAAGCGGGCCCAUUGAUUUAUCAUCUGUUUGGUAAUGUCAUUGCAUUUUUAGCUCCCUGUGUCUUUUUUGUCAUUGGGUUACAUUCAAGCCCAGUAAGAUCAGCUUUAAAACCUCCUUACUCAACAGCUUUAUUAGUUAUAGCAUUCCAUGACCUUUCUCAACAUUCUUAAAGAAAAAGAUACAGUGUAACGUCGCUUUACUUUGCUUAUUGUCCUUUGUUGGGGUGAACAAAGCAUUUUCUACAGUGGCGAUAGCACAUAAUUAUACAGCUUUCAAUGGCAGUGUCUUGGCACAUAUCAAAGUUCAGAGGAGCCUUUAGAAAAAAAAAAUGUUUUGUGGCAGCCUAGGGAGGGUCUCAUCUUUCCUUCAGAAAAUAGUUCAAGGCUCUUCUGUCAAGCUUCCCUACUUAGAACUUUUUCUCCUCCUGCUUCAUAAAGUUUAAAGCGGAUUCAGUGGAGUUCUAUGAUCUAUUUCCUUUGAAAGAUUGUUCCUCAGCACAGAGAGGCCUUUUGACUUCAAGAGUUCACAGAUUCAUGUCUUUAGGUAUCAUAUGUCUGACCUUACCAGUUACUCCAUUUAAUGUCGGAGAAAAAGCCUCAACCCUUUGUGUUUGUCUGUUUUGCCUCUGUGAAAUGAUUUGGUGAAAAGACCAUCCUUUUUAACACACCACUGAGAGGCCGUUUCUGCUGCAACAUACCCUGUGGCUUUUCUCUCUUUAAAAAAAAAAAAAAAUUGUCCUUGUGUUUUGUGUAUGGAUGAGUUCACAGUGAGAAUAGAAUUAUACAAGGGCAGACGCACACACAAAAAAAAAUCUUUUGCUUUCCUCCCUCCCCGCCACCCCCCCCCCCCAUGAUCUAUUGGCUCUCUUGGUGGCUGUACCCCAACAGGAGAAGCCAUUUAGCAAACACAGAGGUGGCAGGCGCGUUACGAAGAUGGCAGUGGGUUUUCCCUUGCUUCGACCUACCCCUAAGGCCUUCAUAAUUAAUUGUCCUUCAGAGAUGAGGGAAGUUCAGAGACAGUGCGUGGAGGGAUGGCUAUUGUCUGACAUUCACUCCUCCUUGCCUCUGCUCUUUUUCUUCGUCCCACAAAGGGUUAUCAAUAGGAGAAAAGAAGCAAGUUCUCUGCAGAGAGCAAGCGGCCGGUCGUGGUCGGAUCUUUCGGUGGGAUGUUAGCAUUGUGUUGGGCCCAUCCUGAAUGAAACGUCUGAAGAAGUUCUAACAGCCUUUUGGAAAUGAGCCUGUUUAUUUCGUCGAGAUGAAACAGACUCAUUGAGCAGCCCAAAGCGCGUUCGAAAGUUGGUGAUCCCUUUUCACACGGCAGAGAGUGUUUUAAAUCAAAUUUCCUCAUCUUCCUCCCACUGCCCGGAUUUUAUUUCACUGUAAUUGUUUGGUUCUCUUUGCAGCCGUAGGGCAGAAAAUGUAGUGCUCGUUCGCUCAUCCCUCUUAAGUCUCUCCGUGUAAAUUUGCCAGCAUCAGGUAUUUUUGCAAACAUUCUUUUCGGGGAAGCGUAGGACUUUGGUUCUUGAAAGUAGAUAAUUCUGGUUCAGAACUAUUGUAUCACCUUCAGUGACUGCCUUAAGCCGGUCUUGGGUGCUCUUUGGUAACGUGCCAUAAAACAAGCACAGUCUGUGUGCCCCCCGCCCCCCACCCCCGCCAACGCCUGCUUUUGGCUGAGACACAAAAUAAAGAUGCAACAUGGAAACAGCCAUCUGAGAAGUAAAGGCAAAGGAGGGCCAUUAAUGAUUAUUAUACUUCUGUUCCUGCUAAAUAGGGUGAAGCCAAGAAAAACAAAUAUAAUUGUUCUUCCAAAGAGAGGUUGAAUUGGCACAUUAGAAAGCUUUCAGAUCACCUCACGGUAGUGUUCCCAGUGAUGUCGAGGCUGAAGGGAACCAUCUCGAAAGGAAAUCUCUGUGUCUCGCAGAGCGGUUUGUCCUGGAGGAAGGGACCCAUAAGGAUAUCUGCCCCGUGGCUCCUUGAACAACUUUCAGCACGGACCUUUGGGUAUUUAAAGAGAACCUGUGUGUGGAAGUUGACACAACUAAUAUAGUCAUACCAAAAAGGGGGUCAUAAAAAAUUAAAGUUAUUCUUAUGAAUCUUUCAUCAGAGGCAGUGAAAAGGGACACGAGUGUCGUCUAAGUCCUUUGUGCUGCGAGCUCUUCUUCCGGGCUCUGGGCUAUUGUUCAAGCAGCUCCUCAAACAGACUUUCACUUUCAAACUGACAAAAGUCACUUAAAAGCGAGACAGCUGUACUAACACACCCACCUUAGCGAGCGGGAGCCACAGGCAGGUGCCGGGCCCUCUGAGGAGACCUCAUUUCAAAUGGGCGGGGGCCGCUUCCUCCUGCCUGCGAGGUGCUCUUGCGCUCACGCCGAGGGGGACCCUCCGCUGCGGGUGUGUGUCCCCCCCCCCCCGUUUCUCUUGCCUUUUCUUGACAGCAUAAAAACAUGGCCGUCCGUGAUAAUACCGUACCUCAGGUGGUAUGGCCAGGGUCAGGUUCUCGAAAGUGAGAGCACAGAACUUGGCACAAGACAGAGGGAGUUGGCCUCAGAACUCUCUCCUUCCGUUCCCCCCCCCCCCCACUCCUUCGGCUUCCCUUUAUUCAGCCCUUUUCCACCAGUCUAACACUCUCUUCAGCUUCUCAGCUGUCCGCUGCCCCGUCAGGAGUAACUUGGGUUGCACGGGAAACACCCACCAAUGGUGGGGCCGAGCCCGACCUCAGGAUUUGAGAGACAGCUAGAGACAGAGAGGUGGGUAACUGCUUGCAUCCCCGGCCUCAGGGCAGCAGCCGCCGUGGGCCAUGGCGCGUCCUCCCUGUGUGUGUAUUACAGCCCCCCCCCCCUCCCCUGUCACCUUGUGUACAGUCUGGUCUGUGACACUGAUGGUGAUUAUGUCCUUAUUUUGCUCUGGGGGCCCCGGCACAUGUGCAGAGCCCCAGCACAUCUUCUUUGUUGUGCUGGCAAGCGUCCCACACCACAAAUGCUUCAUUAGCCCUGCUGCUGGCCUCCUUGCCAGACGCGAGUGCCCAAAUCCAGGCUUCUUUCUGCUCCGUUCUUUUGUGUAGCUGAUGAUCAUGUAUUCAUCUUCCCGGUUCUUCCCCAUUUUCCUCGACUUCUGAACUCCAGAUGUCCCAGCUUUCUUGCCCAAAUCACUCUGCAGGCUACAAAGAGAAACGGGGUGACUCUACCCCUUAACCCGUCCCCGCCCCUUGCCACCUUCCUACUUUUCCAUUCCCCAAGUGAACAGUGACUUGGAAUGGCUCCCCAACGUGAGGACUCACAUUUUCAAACUUGGAGUUUGAAUAGAUGCCCAGGGACAGCCCCCACUCUGUGACGGUAGGUAGAUAGGGUUGGGGUUAGGAGUUAUUAGAUAUUGCUUAUUGGACGAAUGCCUUUCUCCUCCAUCCCCACCCCUUUCCUCCCCUUGGUUCCUUCAUUUGCCACAUUUUGUCAAUUUUCAGAAAGCAGUCUAAAAUGUGAGUACAGAAAAGGUUCUUCGUGCUUCGCUGUGCAUGUUACAGUUGUCUGAAGGUUCCCUUUCUCUGAAUGGAAUCUUCAUCCCCUUUCUACCCCCUACCGAAGUCCCCUGCCUCCUUCCGUGGCCCUAACCUCCCCAGCCCCCAACAAUGACCUAUUAUUAGAUAUUUAAAGUGAUUAACACUUGGCUCUUUGGGAAAGGAGCUAAAGCUUUUCUCUUAAGUUUUAUUCUGUAUAUUUCACAGAACCAUGGCAUUUGUUCAGGUGUGCGGGUUUUUCUAUUAACUGCGGGAAAUUUCAGAGUUCAAUACCUUGGGCUGUGAUAGGUGCUACAUAAUCGGGACGCUUAAUUUCCCCUUAAGUUUGAAUUCCUUGGUCUGUGUUAGCAUACAAUGAGUAGCUUCCCCAGGGGAGAGUUUCACCAGUUUUUAUCCCCCCAACCACUGCAACAGAAGAUGUUUUAAUGUCUCUAUCUUUGAGCAAAACAUAGAUUUUUUUGUUUGUUUUCAGGAUUAAGUUCAUAUUUUUAUGGGAAUCACAGACACUAGGACAAAGACAUUGGUGAGGAGUAAAGAAAACUCCCUCCAAGGAAUGAGUUGUCAUAUUGGACCAGGUCCGAAAGCUUUCCAGUCACGGAGCCCGUUCGGAAUUUUAGGAAUAACCUGUCUGGCAAAGGGAAGGGAAGAGAGGUGGUCGCAUCAGGAGGCCACCCAGCCCCAGGCGGGAAGCCUCUGAGGAGGGGCUGGUACCUGUCAUUGAUGGAAUCGUUUUCAAAAGACUCAGGAUGUCCCUAGAACAUUCCCAACCUUCCAUUAUUACCUCAUUAUGGUUUUAUCACCCAUAGGUUUAUUUAAGCCUUUUUCAAACCUAACUGCGUUCUCAGAGUAUACCACUCCUCAAGAUGAUAAUUCUCUAAAUUUAUUACCUGCUGUGAAAAUUGUGUCUUCUUUUUAUGGCUCUUAAAGUCAUUUUCCUGGAACUCCAAAGGGAUAGCCCUUGUUACGAUAUCCUGGGAUUUGUGAACAGAACUGUAGCCAUAUUCUCCAUUUCCUUUCUGAUUUUAUAGACUUUGAUCAUUCCUCCCUCUUAAUCUUCAUCUGUCCAGAUUAAGGGGCUCUAAUCCUUUUUAAAAGUCUAAUCUCAUACAGUCCGUGGGCCACCCCUGAUCAUUUUAGCUGCCCUUCUGUAAUGCGCUUCUGGCAUGACUGUGUCUUCGUGAGGGACAGUGCAGUUACUGGCCAAGGGGACAGAAUUCCAGCUGUGGGCCACCACGCCACGCUUUGGUGAUGAUAACUCUCUCACACACACCCAAUGCGAUUUGCUUUGAUUGUCCCAAAAGUUUAUCCUCGGAAGUUGGAUUUCUUGAGUAGCUUCUCAGUUAGCACUUUUUGGCUAAAAUGAUCCCAUGAGACCAAUUUAUGAGACGCUUGGCGAGAAUUCUGGCAGAUCUUAAUGUGUCCACGGGACAUAUCCAGCCAGAUGAAAAAUGGGCAGAUCCGCCCUACUGUCUGGAUGUUUUCAGUGUUUUUGUUGAUAAAGUAUCAGAGUGUUUGAUAUCGGGAAGAUAUGGCCCUAGUCUUGGGUUUGAGCCUAUAACAAUGAUAACUACAGCAAGAAAGCUCUGGUCUCUAAAUUAUUCUCAGGCAGGAAACAAAAUGUUCACUUACAAGUAGGUGUUAUUUUAUAUAAAUAAAAGCAUCACCUUGAAAUCUGAAAAAGGAAAUCCUUUGGGGAGUCUUUGCCAUGUCCGUGGUCCUGAACUGAUUUUAAUAGAGUAGAGCCUCACGAACAGCAUGCAUCCUGGAACCGGUUCCUGGGAUCAAAACCCAGCUCUGCCACUUUCUAGCAUUGAAACCUUGGCAAAUGUCUUACCCGCUCUCUGUGCCUCAGUCUCCUCAUCUAUAAGAUGGGGGAAAUGAUAGCAAGUAUCUCACCGAGUGGUCUUGAGAAUUAAAUGAAUACGCACAAAUAUAUUAGCCCAAAGUAAGUGCGUAUAAGCAUUUGCUUUUAUUAAUUCCUAGAGCCAAGUAAAAGUUACCUUGUUGCCAUUAUCAGCUCCACGGUUGCGCCAUUUCCCGCUGACCCUAAAUAGGCAAACAAACAAAUGAGAGGAAGAGGGAGUUCUCAUCAGAAUUGGGACAAAGAGUCAAUGCAAAACUGGUUUUAAAAAGAGAAAGUGAUUCUUCCUGCCCCAAGUGUGGCUGUAAAGGUGACACCAGCCUGGCACAGCUCCAGGAUUCUGGAGUCAUGGGUUCUAGAUGAGAAGAGCAGCGAUGGGGUGAUGGGGUCUGGGGGAGGGAACCCUGGAUCGGAGGGUCUAGUUCUGGCAACACCUGUCUAUUUUGGGCUCUACUCUGCUCACCUGUAAAGUGAUACGAUUAAACACGGAGCUUUGUUCUCUCUCUGAAAUUCUGUGAUUCUAGAAUAAAGACAUUCUGCAUUCUCUAAAUAAAUCCUGGGCAUGAUGCAAAGCUUUAAGCAGUGAUUGCGGAGCCCCUAGGAAUCCAGAUGGUGUCCAUGUGGGGCCACUUCCACCCGUGUGGCUCUGCUGUGGCUUAAUUAUCUCAGCGAACAUCUCUAGGGUGCCCAUUUCAGUGUUCUCCCAAGGCCCUCUUCGCAGAUCUAAAUCUCAGCGGUGCCCUUGGAGACGUGGCAGCUCCCUCGCUGAGAUUAUAGGGACUAAUUUUUUAAAUUCAUAAACAUUUGUUGACUGAGUUGGCACUAGUCGUGAUACUUGCUGCUCACUUUAUUCGUUGUGUUGGCUAGGGCAGCCAAGCAAUGAGGGCAUUCGUCCUUGAGGCCCUCGUGCAAGUGGGUUUUCUGGGAGAUGGUAUAGAACAGGACAACUAAGGGAUUGUCUGUGUACCUGUUCCCGCACGUCUUCCUGUAUGCCCGACAUGGACCCAGACCGCUGGCAUUUGUGAUACGCAUCAACCUCUGUUUAAUCUACAACGCCUCCCCUCAGACAACUACCUUCCUUCCUAGUCUUGGCUGGUAAUUUUUGCAAAGGCACUACCACCUUGUCUUUUAGGGAUGCCCAACAUGGUGACAGUCUCCAUCAGGAAAGUCUUUUCCACUGGGGUUUUGUGUGUGCUCAUGUGUGUGGUUGACAGGUGGCAAAUCUUCACACAAGUCAUUUGGAUAAGUGUUUUGUUUUAUCUUCCUCUGGUCGUAGUCCCCAACUUCUCUUUUUUUUUUUUCGGGGGGGGGGAGGGCCACCGUAACAUUUUAAAGUGAAAUCUGGUUGUACAAGUGACUUUUCGUAAAAGGUGACAAUAACGUUGACUGAGAACAAGUGUGGGGGUUUGAGUGGUUCUAACGGUCGAGAAAUAACCAAAAGUAGGUAGAAGAAGAUGCGAGGCUUUGGUUUCAAGGCCACUGCAUUUCCUUUAAUAUAGAGACGAUUUUCCAAGAUGUAUCAUUGUCAGUGACCUGAAGGUACACAAGAUCAUUUUUAUGUAGACUCCUGUAAGUGCCUUUCAGCAGGGCCAAGGCAAGGGCCAAUCCCGGACACCACCCUAAAACUCCCCACCGUGAAUGUCACCUCAAGCCCAGUGAGCCGUUGACAUGGGUGGAGGGGGCUCCCAGGGGCCCCAGGGGCCAUUCUGGAAUCUGUUUCUCCCCUUCUCCAAACUAUUUACCUUUCUUGAAAAGGGAAUUUCAAAGCCAUUCACAAGCCCUCAGGUUGCUUUGAAAUACAGCUCAUCCUUAGUUUUGCAAAGGGUAAUUGUGGAGGAGAGACCAACAGGAUACUCUAGAAGCACAAAAUAGAAUUUGUCUGACAGAACAAAGAUGUUUUGGGCAAAACCAAAAGAUGGGACUGGGGUGUUUAAUCCCAGUCCUUUCUCAGAGCAGCCCGGAUAUGAUUUGGGACGCAUCCUCUGUUGUUAGCAGAGUGACAGGCUCUCCCAGGAUCCGGUGUUCUUGGAAGCACUCUUUGGAUGAUCACCCACAUCUCACAGUGCCUUUCCUGGUGCUCGCGGUGAGUGGUGCUGUUCUCAUGGUCCUGCCUGAACUCUGCUUCCUAACAGUUUCUCCUUGGGCUUCUCCCUCACAUGCUCCAUCAGCAGGAAUACAGGGCAACGCAGACCAGUUUCCAUGUCAGCCUCGGCAAAGCUUAAUUACGAAGAUAAACCUGCCGUAGAAAACAAUCACGUAAUGCAUUCUCGAACGAAACAGGAGUAACUGUGGAUUAUCUGUGCCCCAGCUUCCUUUUGUGCAAUAUUGGAGAGUUUAUGUCUUGUUGUUUUUGGAUAAUCUCCCGUCCAAGAAUGGCACCGAGCUUGGCCCUAUUUAUCUUACCACCUCACCCAGUAAUUGUAGCAAAAGUUAAACUUUAAGCACUCUCAGCCUGUCUUGAACUCAGACACCAGUGGCACAUAAUUCGUGGGGCUGCCUUGAAGGGAAGUUAGUUAACACUGCACGGUGACUGGUACGCUGCUUAUUUUGGGGUUUUUUUUGUUUGUUUUUUUAAUCUAAGUAUCGAGCUGAUUCAUUUGAUGUGUUGUGAAGGAGGUACAGAUCCCUCCGUCUCGUACGAUCGAAUAUUUACUGGCAGGAAAGUUCCUCACGAGAAGCUCCCCAUCAAGGCAGAGCAAGACUCAAGUCUUCCCGGUCCUUGACCAUCUCUGGGCGUGGUUUAGCUCUGAUCCCAUAGACACGGGCAGCCUUCAGCGCAUCUGCGGAAUGGCGUGACUUUGCAGGUUGAAUUUGGGUGAAUCAAUCCCAGCUACCCAGCGAGAACAAGGAGUGUGCUGAUCCAGUGAGGCACACAGGAUUAGUGAAGAAUGAAGGCGCAUUCAGGAGAAGGGUUAGCCCUCAAGUUUGGCUAAGAGCAGAGGUUGGCAGACUAUUGGCGGAUGGGCCAGAUCUGGCCUGCGGCCUGUCUUUUAUGACUCCAAGCUCAGAAGGGUUUUUAUAUUUUUAAAAAGUUGUAAACAAGAAGAACGUGCAACGGAGACAGAAUGUGGCCCACAAAGCUUAUGUGUUUGCUCUCUAGCCCUUUGCAGAGAAAGAUUGCCAACGGCUGGCUUAGGUUGUUUCACUCUUUUGGAGAAUAUGGACUCUCUCCUAGUCCUGGGGUCCCCAAACCCUCUGAUUCUUUGACGAAAUAGUCUUGCUCGAGCUCUUACCUGAAGAGCCUGCCAGACGCAUUAUUCCAGCAGAAGGCUUCCAAUUGUUUUUAAGGUCUAAGAGUCUUUUCAUAGUGUCUGGGGGGGUGCAGAGACUGGGGAAAGUGUUAGACUUUAGUUUUUAAUACUUUGCCCCUGAUUUUCUUUUUGGCGAAUUUUAUUCAUUUGUUUGUUUUGUUUGUUAAAACGUGGAAUCACUCUUUGAAACGUGUGCAGAGUUUGGGAAGCAAGGACAAUUGACUCCGUCACCAGAAAUGACGUGACAAUCAUUGUGUUGCCUGACACGUACAUCACCAAGACUUCCAGGCCAUUUUCAUCAUAUUCGGUGAACCACAUUUCAGCCCCUCUGAACAAUUGUUGCCAGUGUCAUAGAGUUUCUUCUAAACUCUACCAUAAGAGCUUAUUAUAUGGUACCUCCUUUUCUUGGGAUAGGGGAGAGAUGGUUUUAUUUAUCUUGACAUCUCUACGCAGCGUUACCGCUGGAAUGUUUACGCCGUUUAAGAAGUACACACAAAUCGUUAACAGGUAGAAUAGAUGUUAAGACAUUCUUUUUUUUUAUCACCGGAAGUCACAACUGCUCAAAACGCUCCAUCCUAGCACAUGCGUUGAUAAUCGUACGCUGUUUGUAUCCGUACAGAUGUUAUCAACCUCUUAAGGGUGUAGACAUUUUAUGGUGCAUUCUGUAUAUUCUAAAGAGCACUUGGAAAAGAGAAAGACUCAAGUCAGGUGAGGAAACCAAGAAAAGACUCAGGGCAUGCCUCUGUGCUUCCUUCAGGCUGCUGUCAGAGAGCUCCGCGUGAGGGUGAUAGCCUGGAGUAGCCCCCCACUGCCCGCGCUACAGACCAAAGCCCACGCGUGAUGCUUUGUCGUGGAGUUCCUUUCUCCACUCAAGGCGGGCCCCUAACCUCCCUCCUUGCAGUUUCCACGUGACUGUUCCUUCUUUUUAUUGCAUUCCCUCCAGUGGGCCAUUUCUACCACGUCCCAUCUUUUUUGCCCCUCCAUUGGCAGGUGUACGGACUGGUAUGGCACCGGAGGAUGAUGGCAGGCGGUUUAACUUGGAAGUGUCCUGCCACAGCCUCAGUGUCUGUCCCUGCCGCAGUGACAGACGGAGAGACAUGCUUUCCUUUUGCCACUUUUUCCGACGAUCCCUGCCGCUCUCUCAGGCUGGCCUGGAGAAACCUGGGGGCCCUGGUGUCCAUCCCCGCCCCCACCCCUCGCGCAUUAACAUGACAUUGCAUGGCGAGCACAGAACUGGAGCGGCUCCCACCAGCUGAAACCUCUGAUCCCAAACCCACCAGAGAGUUUGGCUUUUGGAUUUUGGCAAGAAGGCCUGUUGCCCAUCAGGUCAGCAUGAAUAAAGAUUUCUUUCUUCCUUUCUUUUUUAAAGUCAAGCACCAACUGACACUGCCCCCAAAGCUCCCUUUCUCAAGACAGUUUAACCCUUUCUCCCAAGUACAAUUUUUUGUGUUCAGAACGCAUGGGAUUUUGUUUUACUUUUUGCCUGGGAGACAACCAAGAAAUCUACUGUCCAUAAAAUCUGAAAGCCACAUCAAUUCUGAGCCAUCUUAUCAUUUUUAAAGUAUGUUUGUCCAGCUUUGCAGUAGGAACAAGCAGACUGUUUGAAGGCCACAUACUUUUCAAACCUUGGUUGCAACACGUUUGCCCCGUUUUGAAACUGUCUUUAUCUAGCCGAGAAAACGAAAAUCUAUUUGACAAAGUGGCACUCUGGCCAGUUUAUCUUGCAAUAUGGCUUUAGCUCACUGAGUCUAUUGAUUUCCUUAAAUUAAUGUUUACAGAAUGCUACUGAAUUUUGCUCAACAGAACAUUGUUCUUUUGAAGGUUUGUAAAAAAAAAAAUAUGAUACAGACUGUUAUUGCUAUGUGUUCCUUUGCUUAGAGGAAACAUGGAGGGGGGGUGUUUUUGUUUUAUUGUUUUUUUGGGUUUUUUUUUUAAGGACAGCCUUGAACUAUAGCCACUUCCUAUAAGCAUUUACUCUUCACAUAUUUAAGUAGCAAAACAUGUUACUAGGAAGUGAGCCCACUCGUAGGCCUGAAACUGCAUGAUCACGCUGAUCCAAUCCUGUUAAGUUCCCUGAAAGAUGAACGCCACUUGGAACAUCAGAGUGAAAGAGACUUUAGUCUGAAGCCGGGUUGCUGCCAUAGAACCUUCCUUUGCCUCAUCAGGUAUAACCCGGCAGACGUAGGCAAGUGGCUUCUCGACCAGUGCUCCCCAGAUAAUGCCAGGCCUUCCAAACAUAGGUGUGAGCAACCUCGUAAGAUUUAAACACCACGUAGCCAUUUGGUGGGAACUCUAAAUACAACACCUUGUUCUUUGACCGUGGUGCUCAGUGAUUAAUUAAGGUACAAAACCUAAUCUCUAGAGACGAUUUAAAACCUGGCCUUCCCAGGGAAGCACCCAGGGCCCUGCAGCUCCUGAUAGGGACUCAAGUCACAAUCGUGACAUGACUGGAAUAAAACUUAGGAAAUGCAGAGCAACUUUGUCAACUUGUUGACUCAGCCAGUAAAAUUACUCAAGCAAACAUCCUCAAGGCAUCUUUCAAAAUACUGCUUUGCGCACAUUUAUUAAUCACAGUGGAACUCUUCCCAGUUAUUGGAUUCUUCCUUAAAGGUUCGAAGCACCACCUUACAUCUGGGUGGUAUUUUAUGCUCUCCAAAGCACAUUCGUGUUUGCUUUCCUACCUAAGGCUUCCCCACCAUGACAGGGCUUUGGGACACAAUCCCACAAUGCACCCUGGGCAGCAUCCUGCACCCUGUCUGCCUUCGGGCCCAGCUAGUCCCCGGUCAUACACACAGGAUAAACGCGUGCACGACUGCAGGGGAGACCCUUAGUAACAGUGUCCUGUAACCACAUUUCAAAGCUCCGGGUUUCCUCCUCUGCCUCUGACAGAAGAAUUCAGUACGAACAAGACAGCGGAGAGGAGCAGCCAUAACGUAUCUGUUCUUGCCUUUUCAUCUGAUAAUCUCUGUGAGGAGUAACUAAAGCAUCUGAGUUUAUCCAUUUAAGUCCACUCUGUCUGCAGUUUAAGUCCCCAGCUUGUGCCACUGCCGUCAGGAGCUGUGUCUCUCCUUGAUCAAUAUUUACUUAACAAACAGCGGGGAUGGGAGAGUUUGUUUAGAGGAAUCAUGUGCACACCAGGGUGAAUGAAUGCUGGGGAAAGUACUUCAACUUUGUCUUCUUUCCUAGGACCUGUGUGUGUGUGUGUGUGUGUGUGUGUGUGUGUGUGUCUGUGUGUGUGUGCACAUGUGCGUGUGUGUGCAGAGACCCUUUCUCUUUGUAGCUUCUCCAAAGACACUUAGAAGUCAUCCAGAAAAUGCCUCGCUGUGUAUGAUUAGUGUAUUGUUUAUACUGUAAGAGAACUCAUGAUGUAAAUCCCAGCCCGAAGUUCGAUUUUCCUUUUGUGCUCCUACCCAGGUUAAACAUUUUGGAAAGGCUCUUGGGAUGAACUAGAUACACAAGCAUCUUCCUUUGACCCCUUUGAUAAGUGGGAGGGAAGAAAAUGCAGAUGGAAACAGUGAAAGGGGUUUGACAAGGCAACUCUAUGUAUUUCUGAUGGCAUUACUUUUUUUUUUUUUUUUAAGUUUUGUACAAAGCCCAAGGAGAAAAGUGGCUCUCCAGAUUUCCAAAGCUGCUUACCCAGCUUUUGGAAUUAGAUGUGUCUAACGCUAAUAACAAGUAUGAAUACCGCGGUGUUCAAGUGUAGAGAGCACUAUUCUUUCAACUUCACUGAAACAAUUGCUUGAAGGCUCAAGUCAGUGUCUUCAAUGCGGUUGACUUGGAGGCAUCUGGGUCUAGUUUGAGGGGUUUUGUUUCUGUGCGGGUAGAGGCUGGGGGAGUUAUUUAUUUAUUUGAUUUUGUGAAUUGGAGUUGUAAAGCCAUCUGAAAUAUUCAUGCAGAAUUGUCUGAGAAGCCCGUUUCUGUUUUAUUUACUGCACAGUAGAACAGCCACAGUGGAUUAGUUCUACAAUACCCGUAACAAAAGCCCAACAGCUGAUGCAUGUGAUGUUAGGAGGUGACAAAACAGUUAAAGUAUGCUGCUGGCUACAGGCAAGCAGUCAGCAGAUGCAGACAAAAGGGUUUGUGACAAGAAUAACUCUCUCUCCAAGGCGAGCAGUGAAGAGUAUCCAAAAUACCAGUACCCUUUUCUCCUUGACAUUGUCUUCUUACAGUCAGCAUUUUAUUGCCCUUUUAUAGUAUUAAAAAAAAAAUGGAGGAGGAAGAAGAAAGAAAACCCACACACAAACUAAUUCACCAAAAUACUAGCCAGGAUUUUACUUUUCCAUCCCUUAAAUACUCCUGCCCAUGCAUAGGUUUCCUUUUACAUUUCCCAGUCAGAGUAAGUUGGGGAAAAAAAAAAAAAAAAAAACUAGUUGAAAAGAUGAUCUCCCUUGAUAAGAUUGUGAUCUAUUGAUAACCUUGAUAAGCCAUUUGAGCCUUUGGUCAUGGGGGAGGGGCAGGGGAGAGAGCACCAUGCCUGGUUUGUUUUCUGUCCGUUUCAGCGCAGAUCAUCUCACUGCUGAAAUUAGGCCAGUGGACCGAUUUUUAAAGGGGAUCGAGGAUGGAGAGGCAUCCGUGGGGAGUUGUGCGAGGGACCAGGCUCAGGUCCCCUGCAGAAGGCCAAGGGAUGAGCUUGGGGAUAUUUCAGAGGUGUGAAAAAUCAGCUUCUCUCGUCUCCAGAAAAUAAGAGAGGCUGUCUUCUUUUUAACCUUUGUAAUUCCCUUUCUAUUCUCUGUGACAUUCAUUCAGCUGCCAAGAGCGUUUGGCAAGGUUUGGGCCAGCGAGCACACUUGCAGUGACCACUAACCUUGGUAUGUCCUGACACUUAUGAUGAGUGUCUGCAGGACACAGAAGGCAGGCAGCCUGCUCUGUCAGGCUUUUAUUAUGUACUGCAGAGGCUAGGGACAGUCAGUUUAAUAAAACAAAUCAUCCUUGAAGGUAAAGCAACUGGGAAGAGGAGGAGGAAGACAGGGGGAAAAUGUGUCUUUGCCACUCACUCCGAGAAAGGAAAAAAAAAAAAAAAAAAAAAAAAACCAACCACCACCACCCAGCAAAACAGCCGUUCACCCAACAUACCGUGCGUGCGCGUGAGUGCGUGCGCCUGGAUGCGUGUGUGCGCGCACGCGCAACCCGGGCACAGCUGGAGCAGGUUGGAAAACAUCCUCCCGAUUUCCCCAUUUCAUCAAAGCCCGUAAGGCCCUUGUUUGCUCUGAGGAGACUCAAGUACAAACAAUUGUGAUGAAAUUGGUAGAUGCUGGUAGCCAGCCCCCUUCAAAUUUUUAAGUGCCUUCAAGUACCUCCUCGCAAUUAUAUUCUCCUCCAAAUAUCAAGGCAAGGAGAGGCAAGACCAUUUGGGGUGAGGUUCCUAUAUUGGGAUGCCUUUGUAUCAGGCAAACUUUCCAUUCUCCUCUCCUGAAGAACACUCGGCACCAGCAGCUCUCACAAUAGCCUCGGAGUUGCAGCCAGAGUCUUUGGAAGCCUUUUGUUUUUCCCCUGUGGCAUGUCCAAAGGCAUGGCCUUCCCUCCCCCCUCCCAGCAGCCUGCAUUGUCUUGCAUUCCAGGGGCUUGAUUGACUGUUACCACCUGAUGCUGAGGAGAGACUCUGGGGUUCAUUCUGCAGAUUGUUGGGUUCUAUUAAAAGAAACCUAGAUAAGGGAUUACUUGUCACUAAGGGAUUUUCUGCAGAUGUUUGUUAGUGAUUGGAAAUCCAUUAGGUGUGAAGAGGUACAGAAAAAUAUGGCAACAUCAUUCUCCUAAGCCCGAAUUCUAAGAUAGUCGCCCCCCCCCC